AAAAAUGAAUGCUAGUUUUCCUAUCUCUCACUCGUGGCUAUUGCUUACCCUCGUGUAAGCCGUAUUUGUAUGUUUCCGCUAGUGCACUUCAUUGUUUGAAAAUGUACAUGUGAUGAGCCUUGGGCGGACAGGGGAAACUCUGUCCGUUCGGCGUCUGUUUGACGUGCUCGGGCCGGCCCAAAUUGGUAUCGGUCCCGGGGCGUGACACCGCCCGGCGCGUGCCCAGACCCGUCAUAUGUCUAUAACAUACAAGGCGUCUAAAACAAAACGAUAAAUAAAGUAGUAGAACAAAGGAAUCUAAUGAUAUCAGAGUGAAGUAAUUAACUAAGUUCUACAACAGAGGGAUAAGUAUAAAACUGAAAUCCACUAAUAAAGCCAUAGAGUAAUUGUCACGCCCCCGGGUCCCUUUAGGUUAAAAACACCGCGGACAUUUUUUUGUUUUUUGAAAACCUAACCCCAGGGAAUGCCAGAUCCGCCACAAAUACAGGAAAUCCACUGUUCACGCGGACAGAGUCUCCCCUGUAUUUGCACGGCGUCGCGCAAGUACAAGAAGUAACCCAGGUACAACCACAACCAAAUGAAUAUAGAAACGACUAUGCAAUCAUUCAGUCACCAUUCACAUCACAGUUAUACAUUCAAUAUUUAAACAUAAAUCCACAGAAAAUUCUUUUGAAAACUGUUUCCUACAUGGAAACCUUUAUUCUUUAAAAACGCUACCACGAGGGGUAGAAAACCUUUUAUUUACGAAAACCACGAAUCCUUUUUAUUACAUUCAUAAAGCCAAAUCAAAAUAUGGUAGUUAACUGAAAUACCGAAAAACUGAACCAUAUA
rnacentral:lncRNA from 1 species